ensembl:snRNA U6 U6 spliceosomal RNA
GUGCUCACUUUGGCAGCACCUACACUAAAAUUGGAACUAUAAACAGAAGGUCAGCAAGGCUUUGGCGCAAGGAAGACACACAAAUGUGUGCAGCUUUCCAUAUUUAU